rnacentral:rRNA from 1 species
AUUGAACGCUGGCGGCAUGCCUUACACAUGCAAGUCGAACGGUAACGGGCCUUCGGGUGCCGACGAAUGGCGAACGGGUGAGUAAUACAUCGGAACGUGCCCGAUCGUGGGGGAUAACGAGGCGAAAGCUUUGCUAAUACCGCAUACGAUCUACGGAUGAAAGCAGGGGACCGCAAGGCCUUGCGCGGACGGAGCGGCCGAUGGCAGAUUAGGUAGUUGGUGGGAUAAAAGCUUACCAAGCCGACGAUCUGUAGCUGGUCUGAGAGGAUGAUCAGCCACACUGGGACUGAGACACGGCCCAGACUCCUACGGGAGGCAGCAGUGGGGAAUUUUGGACAAUGGGCGCAAGCCUGAUCCAGCCAUGCCGCGUGCAGGAUGAAGGCCUUCGGGUUGUAAACUGCUUUUGUACGGAACGAAAAGCCUUCUUUUAAUACAGGAGGGUCAUGACGGUACCGUAAGAAUAAGCACCGGCUAACUACGUG